GUACUCGCCUCGGCGGGACAUUUAAUAAAAUCGGAACGAUGUACAGAAGAUUAACAUGGUCCCUACGCAAGGAUGACAUGCAAAAUCGUGAAGCGAAAAAAAGUAAU